AAAUAAUAGCUGUUUGUAUUUUGGCUGCUGCAGGAGCCAUUUUAGUUGUCAAAUUUAAAAGUUUUGAAUCACUCCCCAAUGUCUGAUGCCUCUGUCAAUUUUGACUACAAAUCUCCAUCCCCAUUUGACUGCACCACUGAUCAAGAAGAGAAAAUUGAAGAUGUUGCUAGUCACUGUCUGCCUCAGAAGGACCUGUAUACUGCUGAAGAGGAAGCUGCUACCCUUUUUCCUAGGAAAAUGACGUCCCAUAAUGGGAUGGAGGACAGUGGAGGAGGAGGUACUGGAGUGAAGAAGAAACGGAAGAAAAAGGAGCCAGGAGACCAAGAGGGUGCAGCAAAGGGAAGCAAGGACAGAGAGCCCAAGCCAAAGAGGAAACGAGAACCGAAAGAGCCAAAGGAACCCAGGAAGGCCAAGGAGCCGAAAAAGGCCAAGGAGCACAAGGAGCCGAAGCAAAAAGAUGGGGCAAAAAAGGCACGGAAGCCCCGGGAGGCCUCGGGCACCAAGGAGGCCAAAGAGAAGAGGAGCUGCACUGACUCUGCAGCCAGGACGAAGUCCAGAAAGGCCAGCAAGGAGCAAGGACCAACCCCAGUGGAGAAAAA
rnacentral:sRNA from 1 species